rnacentral:rRNA from 1 species
CCUACGGGUGGCUGCCGUGAGGAAUAUUGGUCAAUGGCCGAGAGGCUGAACCAGCCAAGUCGCGUGAGGGCAGAAUGUCCUAUGGAUUGUAAACCUCUUUUGUCAGGGAACAAAGUCACCCACGUGUGGGUGUUGGAGAGUACCUGAAGAACAAGCAUCGGCUAACUCCGUGCCAGCAGCCGCGGUAAUACGGAGGAUGCGAGCGUUAUUCGGAUUUAUUGGGUUUAAAGGGUGAGUAGGCGGGUUAUCAAGUCAGCGGUAAAAUCGUGGAGCUCAACUCCAUCCAGCAGUGGAAACUGAUGAUCUUGAGUUGGCGAGAAGGAUGCGGAAUGCGUGGUGUAGCGGUGAAAUGCAUAGAUAUCACGCAGAACUCCGAUUGCGAAGGCAGCAUACCGGCGCCCGACUGACGCUGAAGCACGAAAGCGUGGGUAUCGAACAGGAUUAGAUACCCUUGUAGUC